UAUUGGGCAAUGGGCGCAAGCCUGACCCAGCAACGCCGCGUGAAGGAAGAAGGCUUUCGGGUUGUAAACUUCUUUUCCCAGGGACGAAGCAAGUGACGGUACCUGAGGAAUAAGCCACGGCCAACUACGUGCCAGCAGCCGCGGUAAUACGUAGGUGGCAAGCGUUAUCCGGAUUUAUUGGGGGGAAAGGGCGUGUAGGCGGGGACGCAAGGCAGAUGUGAAAACCACGGGCUCAACCUGUGGCCUGCAUUUGAAACUGUGUUUCUUGAGUACUGGAGAGGCAGACGGAAUUCCUAGUGUAGCGGUGAAAUGCGUAGAUAUUAGGGGGAACACCAGUGGCGAAGGCGGUCUGCUGGACAGCAACUGACGCUGAGGCGCGAAAGCGUGGGGAGCAAACAGG
rnacentral:rRNA from 1 species